UGGGGAAUUUUGGACAAUGGGCGCAAGCCUGAUCCAGCCAUGCCGCGUGCGGGAAGAAGGCCUUCGGGUUGUAAACCGCUUCUGUCAGGGAAGAAAUCUUUUGAGCUAAUACUUCGGGGGGAUGACGGUACAUGAAGAAUAAGCACCGGCUAACUACGUGCCAGCAGCCGCGUUAAUACGUAGGGUGCAAGCGUUAAUCGGAAUUACUGGGAGUAAAGCGUGCGCAGGCGGUUUUGUAAGACAGAGGUGAAAUCCCCGGGCUCAAGCUGGGAAUUGCCUUUGUGACUGCAAGGCUUGAGUGCGGCAGAGGGGGGUGGAAUUCCGCGUGUAGCAGUGAAAUGCGUAGAUAUGCGGAGGAACACCGAUGGCGAAGGCAAUACCCUGGGCCUGUACUGACGCUCAUGCACGAAAGCGUGGGGAGCAAACA
rnacentral:rRNA from 1 species